ACCAGGAUGGCAGAGUGGUUAAGGUGUUGGACUUAAGAGCCAAUGGACAUUUGUCUGCAUAGGCUCAAAUCCCACUCCUGGUA
rnacentral:tRNA from 1 species